CCUAACAUCAAUGUUAAUGUGUUCUACAUUGCUUUUUUUUUUAAUAGCUUUAAUUUUUACCUUAGCAGCUUCAUAAUCCAAAGAAUCACCUCGAAACUAUGAAAAAGUAGAAAUACGUUUUUCUUUGCUUUUGUGACGAUGUCGCGGCGUAAUUUUUUAAGAGACGCUUUUGUCUACGAUAAAUCAUUCCAUACAUUGGCUGUAAAUUGGAGUGAGCGUCCAGACACUAAAGACCCACCUUCUCAGGCAUUAUGUUUUUAUUGAAACCAAACACACAUAAUUCCAAAACGUACGGGAACAAGGUGGUGGAAGGCAUAGCACAACAGAGUUGAAGUAGCACACUUGCAAAAAGAAAAAAAGCCUUUAAAUGAACCUUGUUGUUACUAAGAUUUGUUACCCGUGUUUAAUUUCAGGGUAACGCGGGGAUUCAAUGAGAUCCGAUACAAUGCAAUAAUUCAAGUCAUCACAAGGAAUACAUUGGAGAAGCUGACAAAACUAACAAGAGACUUUUGGGCUUGCGUAGAUCUAAAAGAUGAGUAGAAAAACUUACACUAGGGCAUGCAGAGAAAAUGAGUUCAGGGAUUAAUUUAGCAUCGGAUAACACAGAAUAGCCUGGAGGAAUAUCAUUAACUUUUUGAACAUUGAGUGUUUCAACCUUUUGUUUUGAAGAAAAAAAAAAGAAAAAGUCUUAAUGAAAAAGUCAUGUCAAUUGACUGGAUCUUACAAUGGUUGGAAAAGUUUCCAGUAAUGAUUUGAGUUGAAGACGUUGACCGAUAAGUAAAGUGAAUUUUGGCUACAAGAGAAAAUUCAAUCACCGUUUCAUACGGAUUUAUUAAAAAAGAAAAGAACCAACGUACACUCAUUGGUAGCCUCAUUUCAAUAUGAAGCAGAUCCGUUUUAUGCCGAAUCGUUGAUAGGAGUGUUUGCCAGCAGCAUUGUCGAGCUAAUAACUAAAAAUAACCAUUUUCUAAAGAAAAAUAAAAAAGAAUCGAGUCACCUCAAAUCGAACAAGUAAAUAUGUGCAAAAGGGAUGACAUGUAGCAAAAUAUUCAUAGUGACUCCAACCGUAGGAUCUACGAAAGAGAAUGGAUGUGAAUCACGCUCAAUAAUACAAAAUAACACCACUUUAAAAGACUUGUCGGAAAUGCAGCUUGUUUAAAAGAGCAAGCAGCAAUUGUAUGCAAUGCAUUAGCAUAGUUUAAGGAAAUUUGUUUAUUUUGAUGACGACCACGUAGCAUAAAACUAAAAACGAAAAGGACUACAAGACAA